AGAGUUUGAUCCUGGCUCAGGAUGAACGCUGGCGGCGUGCCUAAUACAUGCAAGUCGAGCGAACGGACGAGAAGCUUGCUUCUCUGAUGUUAGCGGCGGACGGGUGAGUAACACGUGGAUAACCUGCCUAUAAGACUGGGAUAACUUCGGGAAACCGGAGCUAAUACCGGAUAAUAUUUUGAACCGCAUGGUUCAAAAGUGAAAGACGGUCUUGCUGUCACUUAUAGAUGGAUCCGCGCUGCAUUAGCUAGUUGGUAAGGUAACGGCUUACCAAGGCAACGAUGCAUAGCCGACCUGAGAGGGUGAUCGGCCACACUGGAACUGAGACACGGUCCAGACUCCUACGGGAGGCAGCAGUAGGGAAUCUUCCGCAAUGGGCGAAAGCCUGACGGAGCAACGCCGCGUGAGUGAUGAAGGUCUUCGGAUCGUAAAACUCUGUUAUUAGGGAAGAACAUAUGUGUAAGUAACUGUGCACAUCUUGACGGUACCUAAUCAGAAAGCCACGGCUAACUACGUGCCAGCAGCCGCGGUAAUACGUAGGUGGCAAGCGUUAUCCGGAAUUAUUGGGCGUAAAGCGCGCGUAGGCGGUUUUUUAAGUCUGAUGUGAAAGCCCACGGCUCAACCGUGGAGGGUCAUUGGAAACUGGAAAACUUGAGUGCAGAAGAGGAAAGUGGAAUUCCAUGUGUAGCGGUGAAAUGCGCAGAGAUAUGGAGGAACACCAGUGGCGAAGGCGACUUUCUGGUCUGUAACUGACGCUGAUGUGCGAAAGCGUGGGGAUCAAACAGGAUUAGAUACCCUGGUAGUCCACGCCGUAAACGAUGAGUGCUAAGUGUUAGGGGGUUUCCGCCCCUUAGUGCUGCAGCUAACGCAUUAAGCACUCCGCCUGGGGAGUACGACCGCAAGGUUGAAACUCAAAGGAAUUGACGGGGACCCGCACAAGCGGUGGAGCAUGUGGUUUAAUUCGAAGCAACGCGAAGAACCUUACCAAAUCUUGACAUCCUUUGACAACUCUAGAGAUAGAGC
rnacentral:rRNA from 2 species